rnacentral:rRNA from 1 species
UAGGGAAUCUUCCGCAAUGGGCGAAAGCCUGACGGAGCAACGCCGCGUGAGUGAUGAAGGUCUUCGGAUCGUAAAACUCUGUUAUUAGGGAAGAACAAAUGUGUAAGUAACUAUGCACGUCUUGACGGUUCCUAAUCAGAAAGCCACGGCUAACUACGUGCCAGCAGCCGCGGUAAUACGUAGGUGGCAAGCGUUAUCCGGAAUUAUUGGGCGUAAAGCGCGCGUAGGCGGUUUUUUAAGUCUGAUGUGAAAGCCCACGGCUCAACCGUGUAGGGUCAUUGGAAACUGGAAAGCUUGAGUGCAGAAGAGGAAAGUGGAAUUCCAUGUGUAGCGGUGAAAUGCGCAGAGAUAUGGAGGAACACCAGUGGCGAAGGCGACUUUCUGGUCUGUAACUGACGCUGAUGUGCGAAAGCGUGGGGAUCAAACAGG